CUCUCCCCACGCUCUCUCCCCUCUCUUUCACCCCUCUCUCCUCUCACUUCUGUCAGGUUGACUCACUGUUCUUAUAUCAUUCAGGAGGAAUGCUGCCAUGAUAAGUCCUUGAACUUAAUAAACGUUGAAAAGUGUGUGUGUGUGUGUGUUUGUGUGUGUGUGCGUUUUUGUAAAACGUUAUCUCCAUUUGCAAUGUGUCACAUCACAUGCCAUUCAGCUGAUUCCAAAUAAAUUCCAUUGUGGUUUGCGUGUGGGUCUGUCCUCUGAGAAGGACCAACACUUGAGGUAACGUAAGCAACACGAGAAUGGUCGGCCUGACGCAUGGCUUUGCUUCAGAGCUUUGUUGAUCCAUUCAAUGCGGCUUUGGUGUCAUAAGGACUUUUAUUACUUAUUAUAGUAUGCAGGUGUGUGAGAGUGUGAGUGUUUGUGUACUGUGUAUUGUAGUUCAUGUGUUUGGCUGUGUGCGUGUAUGGGUGUUAUGAAAGCUCAAUGUUUGUUUAGCUCCCCAUGAGGGUCACCUGUUGAUUUCUCACAAAGAGCGGUCUCCUUCAAAGUACACCUUUAUGAGGGCAGAUCAUAAGUCGUCGCGAUCACAAAGGCUUGUUGGAUGAUGUCACACCUUUGGAAAAAUACCGCUAAACAGACGCAUGUUCAUGAAGUUACUGAACCAUCCCUGACUGCAUUUCAAAUUGUUCUAACCUUUCCAUCAACUGGAUCAUUGAAGGCAACAGCCUGUGCACAGCGUACAAAACAAACCUGAAUCUUUAUUGGUUGAUUGUUAAAAUCAUGUUGAUUAUUUAUAGGUUAUAUAAAAGAGAUUGUGUGGUCCACCGAACAAACGACAGAUUGACCCUUCCCAUAGCUGUUGUUGAGGCCAUUUUAGAAUAAUAGAGCCAUCAUGUUGCUUUUUGUUGCUUUGUAGAAUCGAUUCUCAUGAUAAGCCCGUCAAAUUUCUCCUAAACAUCUGCUAUAAGCAGUGAGUAGACAGAUUUGUGUCAUAAACAUACGUUGCUUCUAAAGCCGUCACAUUGCACAGAAUAUGUUUUAUUUAAAAGAAAAAUAUGCUGACCAAAUUAAUCUGGAGGACGUAAAGUUGUAUGGAGACCAACUAACAUGACAGCUAUGCCGCCUGUUUAAUGUGCCCUUGGACGACAACAACAACAACAACAGGCAUAUGGAAAUAAGGUUAAAGUUAAAAUGACAGAACUUAACUUGGGCAGUAAAACAGUCGGUCAGUAACUUGUAGUGUUUAUCCAUUUUAUUAUGUAGCAUCACUCAGUGGGAGCUGACUGGACAUGGAGAAAAUAAGGAUUUGUCAGAGUUCUUGUCAUUUGCCUUUCUUCUCCCUUUCUUUUUUAAAAUUUAUAGAGGACUACUUCCCCGGUUUCCCAGGUAACAGCAGGAUCUGGAACAGUGCCAUGGGGCCAACCAUAGCAUUAUGUGUGAAGGCCACAGACUGCGAAUAUCCUCCCACUCUUUUAAUUGCUAUGGUCUUGAGACAAGAAAGCAAUCCCAUUUGCCUCCAGUUUCUGAAUGAAGAGCUCGGAAGACCACUGCUAAUCAAGUGUCUAAACUGUAUAUAAUAUAUUUAUUUGUAAGUUAUUUGUUCAAAAGAGGUCCUUUAUGAUGCUAUGGAUUGUCUUGGAAAUUCAAAUUUGCGUGUGUAUCAAAGUGUCAUGCAGCAUUCUAGUUAGGUUAACCAGGACCCAACCACAGUUAUUAAUGAAAAAUAAUACAGAACUUGCGUAUCAAGUUUCAUGGAACAUAGCUUGCCCUGGACACCUUGGACACUAUUAAUGGGAGAUAUUUAGGUUGACUACAGUAGAGUGUGGAAAACUCUUCUCCGUUCUCACACACGGAGAAGCACGCAAGCUAUAUGCACAAUAUAUGGUUUUGGGGAAGUAUUGUACAUUUGUGUGCUUGCGUAUGAAUGUGGUUAAAAUAGUUGCCAUGUUAUGUUUUGAGGGACUGUCAAUUCAGAAAACUGUGACGUAAUCACAUAACAGUAGCUUCCCAAUUCUUAUAAAAUGAACACAUGAGGAUGCUACCUCCAACACUAUCACUAUAAGUUACAGGAAAUAUCCCUCAAACUUGCUGCCUUAAAUCCAUUAAAGCAAAGCAAUGUUUCUGACCUAUUUAAAUGAGAUAGUGGUACACAGGCUAAUCUUGCUUUCAAAGAAGCCAUUGACCAACCAGUGUCAAGCGGCAAUUGUUCAAAUCAACAAGUGUGUGCAUACAUUAAGGUAGAAGGUAAUAAGCCAAAGUUAAACAUAGAAACCUUUAUUUAGCUCCUAUUUAGCUAUCUACUAGUCACAGACAGACCACUGGUUUCCCGCUGUUGUAUUUGGAGAUUCUCUUUUUGUUUGCUCAUCUGCCUGACGUAAAAUCACCAGCCUCUGUAUCAUGUCUCCCAUCUAAAGCUCAAAUAACAAAACUUACGAUGGGAAAUGGCGGCCAUUCCAACCAUAAGUCCCUGCUGCCUGUGGUGCAGCUGGUGGACAGUUGGUUCUGUUGAUGCAGACAUUGUGUCCAGAGCUCGCCUGCCUGGCACCUGCUCCCUCUUCUGGGUCAGCCACGGCCCCCACCGGGACCACUCCUCGACAGGUGACACUGCAGUAUGAGCGACUGCGUCCCUACGUGCUACUGCUGCCAUCGAAUGGCGAUUGUGUGUCCCGAGUGCAUCAUCCUUAUGUCUGAGGCAAGCACGGCCUCCCCUUUUGGUCCUCUUUCGCAAAGCCAGACCUUAUGGAUAGGAUCACCCGCAGGUCAUAUCCAGAACGGCUGCACAGGGAUCAGUUGUCCAGGUUAGACAACCAAACAACACAGUCCGCUUUUCUUUUCUUUUUUUUUUUUACCAAGCCUUUGACACAGCUGUUCCACUACUGCCCAUGGAGGUCUCAAAGAUACACACAGACACUGGGAACACACUGCUCCGUCUAUCAUCUCAGCAGUUGUCAACAAACGUACUGAUCAUCGAAUAUUGUAUCGGCACGAGGCAGUGCUAGCCAGGCAAACAGCUGCCUGCAGCUGAGUGGGUUCGGGCAUGUCUUGACUAAGUAUCGUGCUUUGGCCUUCCCAUCAGAGAGCAUGUCACUUCAGUAACUGGUUUUAAUUUGUGUGCAGGAUACUCCCUAUGCUCACUCUAAUCUAGGUGGUUGUUUUAGGUGUAUUGCAGACUUAUGGUUGAUAGUAACAUGCACGUAUAUACACUCUUUAAUUGCAUAAAACAUACCUCUCCCAGUAAUCUUUGUUUUUGAUGCGAGGUACCACCACAGAAUAACCAUUACAGUGAAUUUAUAUUGAGUGUCAACUGGUUAUAUACCAUAGUUAGAUAAUUGUUUGCCCUUAUUAGAAAACAACACACACACACACACACAACACACAACACACAACACACAACACACACACACACACACUCUCAUGCACAGUCUUGAUUCUCACGCGGGUGUGUAUGAUUUUAAAUAGUGUCACAAGGGCCACAUUUGAUCCAUGGUUACAAAAGAAGCCAUUGAGGAUGAUGCGGUAGAGCAGAAGGCGAUGUCAGGGGGCUUAGUGUGGCCAAAGAGAAAUAGUCUUAUCAUAAUAAUGCGUCUAAAAGUUCUGCCCCACACAGCAAAACAACCGGGUGACUGCAUCAAUAAGGCUUAGGCUUGGCUUUCUGCAGGAAGGGACACAUUAUAGUGAUGUCACAUGUCUGGACAGAACAAUAUGGGCCUGUCACAGCUCCAUGUUUGUGGAUUUAUUGGGUCAUUUACAGACUGACCUGUACUUUACAGUUACCGGGACUCUAGAAUGGCGAAAACAGACCGCGCUGAUUUUGCUGUGGCCAAUAGAAGAGCAUCCAAGUCGCAUGGACCAACCGCUUUACGCUGUGAUCCAGUGGGGAGGAGAACGGCUUUACGCUGUGAUCCAGUGGGUGAUGAAGGCGGUUAAAUGGCAGCUCUUUGACUUCAGGCCUUUGAGUUGCUUUGAAAGAGGCCAAAGUCCGGCACACAUUGAUAUUUAGCAGGACGAUUGAAGUCUUAAUGCCACAGGGGCCAGAGGAGAGCGGGGGGCCGAGACAAAGUGUGGAGCUAGGUGGUGGCGGGGCAUCCUAGUCUUUGUACUCCUCACGGUCCUCACCCAUGGGGGCUUUGGAAUAUGCUUCCAUCAAAUAUAUAGCAGUCAACUACUCAAUGUUAAACCAAACAUACUCCAAAUUGAGUUGAAGGAAUUGCCAUGAGCAUGAAAAAGUUUGUUAAUAAAUCUGUUUUAAUAUUUUUGAAAUAGGUAUAAAAAAAGAAUAUAUAUAAAAAAAAAUAGGGUUAGAUGGAUAAUUAAUGAUGUAUUGGUUCAUUUGUCAUUAUUCACUUGACCCCUAUAGGAUACUCUUUGAUCAGUUCACACUUCACCAGUAAGCAUAGACAUGUUCUCCUCUAUAACAUGAUUUUCUAAACAAGGAUGUAUAAAUCACACCUUAAGGAAAUGCAAUCCUCACUUGUCAUGAGUAGAUAGUUCAUCAGCAUCAACCAGUAUCAGUUCCUUGCCAUCUCUUUCCCCUGACCAUCUAUCACAGCUAUUCUUGACACUAUUUUGUUUUUCAUGUAAUUAGGUUGUGUUUAUUCCUUUUGUCUGUAUUCAAAUAUUAGUCGGAUGCAGUAAUGAAUUAUUGAUGCAUGUAAUAUUUUUAUUGCAUUUAUUGUGUAAGGAGCCUGAUUGAGGUGAAGAAAAUGUCCCUAAAGGGUCCUUUAAGGCAGUGGACACAUUGUGUGUUCCCUUUGUCUAGGUAUUGAAUAAUUGACCUUUACUGGUUUGCAUGAGCUCAUGGGAAAAGUGGGCGUUUCCACAGGAAGUGGAACCCGUUCCUUCCCUCUCUCUCUCUCUCUCUCUCUCUCUCUCUCUUUCUCUUUCUCUUUCUCUUUCUCUUUCUCUUUCUCUUUCUCUCUCUCGCCUCUCCUGGAAAGAGCCGUUAUAUUUGCCAUCACUCUUUAACCCAUUGUUUAAACCAAAAUUUGACUUUAAUAAAAGGCUACUUGCAAAUGGCUACAUUUGCAAGUAGCCAUUGGAGCUGUCCAUCUGUUUAACAUUACUUUGUGAUAGUGGAUGAUUUUGUGGGGUGACGGGUGAUUAUGGACAGCUGCAGAGAGUCCGGACAGCCCCAGAGGUUUAGCAGAGGUCAGGCCAAUGAGGUUGAGGAACAGGAAGUAAUUCAUGUACGACACUUGGAUAACAAAUAGGAUUUCAGAUCAUUUUUUUCCCCAGUUGACAAUCGCAGUUUCCCAUUCAGUAUGUGCAAUCGACUUACAUUGUGUGGUGGUUGAACAUAUAAUAAAAGUCUGGGUUUCGAUUCGACAGGUCCUUCAGUGUCUGCCAAUGCUUCUUAUAUUUUUAUGAACGUUUUUGCGAUUUAAUUUUCCGCCCAUCCAUGUUCAUAACAUGAACUCCAUCUAAGACAAAACACAUCUAACACAUCUAGACUGGCUGCACAAAUCCUGGUUUGCAGUGAGUUUUAGCUCUGCAAACAACACCCCCUAUGAUUCCCCCAGGCCGCGUACAUUACUCCCAACUACUGAAUCUGAACGAGUGUUAGUGAGGCAUCUGAGACAGCUUAAAGUCGGGGGCUUGGGAGCAUGUGUCAUUCACAGAGCGCCGCUCUAAAACAGGAUUCUCUGAAGUUCACAACCCUUUAUGCUCCGUUGUGGUUAUUAAGGCCAUAUCUAAGUUCUGCAAUGCCUCAUGGUAUGCAGCUUAAUACUUUUCAGACUGUGGCCUAUUGUUUCCUUCCAUCCGAGAAAGAGGCAUUUGUGUCUUUCUGCUAUCACUCGCGAUUAUGCUGUUGCUGUAAUAUCCAGAUUCCUAAGGGAAUAGUUUAGCUCGGGCCGUUGUGUGCGUCAUCAUUACCAGAUCACUUGCUUUAUUAAGGCCUUACCUCAAGGUCUUUUGUCUAUAUAUGAGGUGUCUCCAGUUGAAAUUGCUUUUGAUAUUGGCAGACCAAAGUGAGACAAUUUGAUAUACAUCUGUCGGCUUGGAGCCUCAAGUGCCCUCAAUGAGGGACGAACGUUGUGUUUCGCUCGAGCUUGCGAUGGUUGACUUUGGGUCCCAGCCAGAAUCUAUAUUGGUCUGUCAGCAGAACUGGGACCAGAGAGGAUGAUUGGUCUCUAUUAGGAGAGAAUAAAGAGAUGGGUUGUCAUCCUAUGGCUGGACUUGGAAGCGGAGCUGCAGUAAGGAGAUGGAAGGGAGAGAGCAGUGUGAAAUAUCAGCUUAUGGAAGCAAAUUUGAUAGGCUGUUCACCGUUAUUCUAAAGAAGAAGAAGUAACACUCAACAGCACUGAAGAAUUUCAAGCCGAGGUCUAAAAAUCAAGGUCUCAAAAGAAGGUCAAUGGAGCAGAGCGUCAUGGGAGGUAAUGAACCACCAUGUUGAUAUUAGCUUACUCUGCAAUCCUGCACACAUUGCUGGCUAAGCCAAGGCAUGCAUACCUUUGAGACUACUUUAAUGAAGCUGGUCGUAAACAACAUUGAUUUCUAGAAUAAUAUAUUAGUCUUACGGUAGCCUAGCCUGUAUACUGGGGUUGUGCUUUAAUUGUGUACUUUCUGUAGGGCUAACCAAUAUAUUUUUGGAUGAAACCAACUAAGUUGGACAAAGGGUUCAUACUGUAAAGGAAACCUAACAAUGAGAUCAUACCAGUGAUAAGGCAGGAUCUCACACUCUAUAUAUACACACAUAUAGUUGUAGUCAUUUUUGGAGAGGAAGUGGGCACAUGUUGUGCAUUGCUGGUAACUGCUCCCCUUCCCCACAUAACACCUAGCUAUGCUUUCUUUUUGAUGAAGAGCAGACUGCCAUGCUGCAAUUGUAAACAGACAGACAAAGCAACAA